rnacentral:rRNA from 1 species
AGUGAACGCUGGCGGUAGGCCUAACACAUGCAAGUCGAACGGCAGCACAGUAAGAGCUUGCUCGUACGGGUGGCGAGUGGCGGACGGGUGAGGAAUACAUCGGAAUCUACUUUUUCGGGGGGGAUAACGUAGGGAAACUUACGCUAAUACCGCAGACGACCUACGGGUGAAAGCAGGGGAUCUUCGGACCUUGCGCGAUUGAAUGAGCCGAUGUCGGAUUAGCUAGUUGGCGGGGUAAAGGCCCACCAAGGCGACGAUCCGUAGCUGGUCUGAGAGGAUGAUCAGCCACACUGGAACUGAGACACGGUCCAGACUCCUACGGGAGGCAGCAGUGGGGAAUAUUCGGCAAUGGGCGCAAGCCUGAUCCAGCCAUGCCGCGUGAGUGAAGAAGGCCUUCGGGUUGUAAAGCCCUUUUGUUGGGAAAGAAAAGCAGCAGGUUAAUCCCCCGCUGUUCUGACGGUACCCAAAGAAUAAGCACCGGCUAACUUCGUG